GCCAAAUAAAAAGGAAAAGAGAUGUGGGAGUUUCGGCCAUCAGCCAUAAAAGACAAGUCCACCGUCCCCACUUACUCUGAAAUGAUAAAAUGGAGUUUUUGUACCUAGACAAUUUUGAUCACACAUGUCAAGAGACCUGAGGGUCACAGGCCAAGCAAGUGAAUUGACAAGUCAUCGUGCUUCCUUCAAUGUGCAUGAGUUUUAAAACAUUGAUAUUACAC
rnacentral:lncRNA from 1 species